AUAUGAUUAAUUGUAUUUUGCUCUUCUUUCCCCUGCCGUCUGUGACAUUCUCAGAACAGACCUGUGAACAGAGCUGCUGGUUUAGUCCUUCCACCCAGUGAGUGCUGUUAGUACCAACGGAUGUUGUUGGACGAAGAAAAAUUACUCUGUGACAAGUUUAUCUGCUGGAGGAGGAGUGGAGUGGGGCACGUCUCUGCUCAUUCAGCAUCUGGCUCUGCGUCAAACCGAUGGCCGGCUUCACCGAAACAUAUCACUGACUUCACAAAACAGACCUGUAAUGACUACCAGAGAAGCGCUUCAGUGAGGCCUAACAGCUUCUCCAUAUAAAAUCAGCUCACGCACCA